rnacentral:rRNA from 1 species
AUUGCACGCUGGCGGCAGGCCUAACACAUGCAAGUCGAGCGGAGCGGCGGACGGGUGAGUAAUGCCUAGGAAUCUGCCUGGUAGUGGGGGAUAACGUCCGGAAACGGGCGCUAAUACCGCAUCCUAUCAGAUGAGCCUAGGUCGGAUUAGCUAGUUGGUGGGGUAAAGGCCUACAAAGGCGACGAUCCGUAACUGGUCUGAGAGGAUGAUCAGUCACACUGGAACUGAGACACGGUCCAGACGCCUACGGGAGGCAGCAGUGGGGAAGAUUGCACAAUGGGCGCAAGCCUGAUGCAGCCAUGCCGCGUGUAUGAAGAAGGCCUUAGGGUUGUAAAGUACUUUCAGCAGGGAGGCGUUACCCGCAGAAGAAGCACCGGCUAACUCCGUGCCAGCCGCCGCGGUAAUUG